CAAAAUUGAAUAGGCUAUGUAAUUAUUUCUAUAUUUAAUGUUUCAGCAGAUGAACAAGAUGUUCGAAUUAUUUCUGUGGAUCAUGUUUCUGGAAAAAAACCAAAACCAUUCAAUAUCCUAGGAAACCGUAUAGUUGAACCUUCUAACUAUCAAGGUUCAUGUUUAAAUGGUGGAUAUAUUAUUAAGGAAUCGCCAAAAUGCGUUUGUCCUCCUGGUUUUAUAGGGCAAUUUUGUGAGACAGGCAAAAUUUAUCAUGUGAAUUAAUUUACCAUAUUCCAAAUUUAAAGAUUUUUUCCAUUUAUAUUAAAGUUGCAUAUUUUUUCAUAAUUUUGAGUGCGUUUUAUGUGGAAUA